rnacentral:lncRNA from 1 species
UAGCUUAUGAAAAAUUGUUGUAAACAACAGGUCAAAGGUCUCUUCUGUCCCUGUGUUGCGGGAUUUGAUCACUAGUAAGUAACACAGAAAAAUAAUAGGUCCAGGUACUGAUCAAAACAUCAUAAGACAGAAGAAGAAAUCCAUGCUUUGGCCACAGUCCUGGGCUUCAGUAUCUGUACACACAGCUAGGAGUCCUGCUUAGCCUUUUAUGAAAUACAAGCAGUGGAAACAGCAGAAGACAUUUUUUUAAAAGAUUCUGUUAUGGAAUACUGUGCUUAAAAUAUUACAUGUAUAUUGUCACAGUGACUUCUUGGGCACAGCUCAAUGGAAAUUGUGCAGUUUUUUAGUGCCUGCAGUUUGUGAGGUAGAAUCAUCAUUAGCUAAGGAAUCUUGAACUUUUGGGGUAAUUUUUAAUGAUGUAUUUCAAUGAGUGUAAUUUUAAUGGAGCAUGUAUAUAUGAACAAAAAUCUGUGUAUCCUCUUUUUUCACACUGUGUUUUCAGGCAGAAGAUCUUCUUUCUUGUACUUUUUCAAUGAGGUUUAAAUUCCUUUCUGUAUCUUGCCUCACACUUCCAUCAUUCCUUAGGUACCAGAGCAUCCUAUGAAAUCUGAUCCUGUUGGCUCUAAUCUUUGGCUGGCCAUUUAUGUACUGAAUUUGCAGAGUUGCAAACAAAGGCUGGGAUCAUGAUGGGGAGGCAAGAAGAGGCAGGACUCUGCAGGGCCAGGUGGAGCGAGGGCAUCUUUGAAGGAUCACCACCGUGGAAAUACAAGUUCUGCAUGCCGGAAUUAAAGCAAAACAGAGCCCAGUGCACUCCCUACUUUGGAUUUCAAUGUAUCCUACUUGACCCUUGCCUGUGCUGGGCUUCACUCACAUCCAAAAGCUUUGUCCACACCUGAGGAGGCAUCAGGUUCAGAGUGAAGAUGGCUCAAGCUGUUUCCUUGGUCCUGUUGCUCCAGCUGUCAGCGGAGGCAGGCUGUCGUUGCUUAUCUGGCUGCUAAAUCCUUCACAACUCCCCAUGUGAUAUCUUACAAACAUUUUGGAAUGAACUGAUGUGCAGAUUUGCAAAUUAUUCAUAGGAACCUGUGCCUCAGCUUGCAGUAUAUCUUUUCAGAGCCAUGGCAGGCAACCGGCUACCCAAAGUUAAGAAGUUUGGGGGAGCAGAGUGGGACUGGGUUCCACUCAGGGAUGCUGGAUAUCCUGAGUGACCAGUGGAUGGAUGGAAGGUGUGGGUAUGUGCAGCAUCUGGCAUUUCUCUGCUUUCUGUUCUCUGCCUAAGGGCAUAGUGAAGAAUUACCAGGGUCUGCAGUUAUUUUCAAGAGUAGGUGGAGUGGGCAAAUGGGUGUGCUGAUGCCUGGUGGUCUCUGCUGAAUGGGUAAGGGGACAUACAGUUCUGUGGAGGCAGAAAAAUGUACUGGAGGCUGGGAGAGAGCGGCUGUAACAGGGACACUCUGAAGGACGUGGAGAUGUGGAGUUAACCUGUGAUUAUUUUAGGAGAACAAGAGAGCUGAAGGAACCUUUUCAUCCAGAACAGGAGAGUGCUGUUCCACUGAUGCAAGGAGCCACACUGAUGGCAAGUGAGAAGAUUUUCAGGUCUUUCUGUGCUUGGUUCUUUGCGAGAUGUCAGCAUUCCUGUCCCUGGCUGCUCAGGAGGAGCAAGGGAGUGGCUGGAGGCACGUGGCGUCUGCCCAGCUUCAGCUCUGCCCAAGACAAGGAAACCCUCAAGAUGAGAUAAGGCAGGUCUGAUAGGGAGCUUGGGGAUUUUCAGAUUUUCCUUUCCCUCCACAAGAUAAACAAAAGAAAGGAAAAAGGAAAGUCUUGAGAAAAAAAAAUGUAUAGGGUUGAAAAAUACCACUAAGAGUCACUAUUUUCAUUUUUUUGCCAUUAAAAAUAUUGUUUUGCUUCUUUGAAAGAGCACCAAUUGUUUAAUUGACCCCAAAAAGGAAAUGGAUUUUCUGUUCUUUUAUAAGAACCCGAUGUGCUGACAUUUUCCAUCCCGAACUAGAAUUAAAACAGCCACACUGAGAAAACUCAGUGUAUUUUAUUCAUCAAAGAACGGAGACUACUUUGAGGGAGGAGUUGAGGGAGGCUGUAGUUUCAUGUUGCAUUUUCUUUGUGAGCAGAGCAGCCCUGGGUGUGUUUUGUUUUGCAUUUUUUUUUUGAGAUCUUUUAAGCCAGUUAGAAGAUGGGCUCACUGAUCCGGUUUGCCGGGCACACAGUCAUUGCUGGCACAACUGCCAGGGCAGCAGGGAACAGCGAACAGGGGGGGCACGGACAGGCCUGUCGGGCUUUGUCAGACAAUAAAAGGUAACACAAAACUGUAACA